GAAUAGAAAGCGAUUACUUGCAAUUAGUUUCGACCUAAUUUUUGGUAUUUUAAUUACCUCUAUUCU
rnacentral:tRNA from 1 species